rnacentral:rRNA from 1 species
UACGUAGGGGGCAAGCGUUGUCCGGAUUUAUUGGGCGUAAAGAGCGUGUAGGCGGCCAAGCAGGUCCGCUGUGAAAACUCGAGGCUCAACCUCGAGACGUCGGUGGAAACCGUUUGGCUAGAGUCCGGAAGAGGAGAGUGGAAUUCCUGGUGUAGCGGUGAAAUGCGCAGAUAUCAGGAGGAACACCGGUGGCGAAGGCGGGUCUCUGGGCCGAUACUGACGCUGAGGAGCGAAAAGCGUGGGGGAGCGAACAGG